rnacentral:rRNA from 1 species
GGAUGAACGCUGGCGGCGUGCUUAACACAUGCAAGUCGAACGGUGAAAGCGGAGCUUGCUCUGCUGGAUCAGUGGCGAACGGGUGAGUAACACGUGAGCAACCUGCCCCGGACUCUGGGAUAACAGCUGGAAACAGCUGCUAAUACCGGAUACGAGCUGCGAAGGCAUCUUCAGCAGCUGGAAAGAAUUUCGGUCUGGGAUGGGCUCACGGCCUAUCAGCUAGUUGGUGAGGUAAUGGCUCACCAAGGCGUCGACGGGUAGCCGGCCUGAGAGGGUGACCGGCCACACUGGGACUGAGACACGGCCCAGACUCCUACGGGAGGCAGCAGUGGGGAAUAUUGCACAAUGGGCGAAAGCCUGAUGCAGCAACGCCGCGUGAGGGACGACGGCCUUCGGGUUGUAAACCUCUUUUAGCAGGGAAGAAGCGAAAGUGACGGUACCUGCAGAAAAAGCACCGGCUAACUACGU